rnacentral:rRNA from 1 species
UACAGAGGGUGCGAGCGUUGUUCGGAAUUAUUGGGCGAAAGGGCGCGUAGGCGGUGCGGUAAGUCACCUGUGAAAUCUCCUGGCUCAACUGGGAGCUUGCAGGCGAAACUGCCGUGCUGGAGUGUGGGAGAGGUGCGUGGAAUUCCUGGUGUAGCGGUGAAAUGCGUAGAUAUCAGGAGGAACACCUGUGGCGAAAGCGGCGCACUGGACCACAACUGACGCUGAGGCGCGAAAGCUAGGGGAGCAAACAGG